ensembl:lncRNA
UUUAGUGUAGGUACAACCAUCAUCACAAUCGAAUUUUAGAACAUAAGACACCCAUUAAAAGUCACCCCCACCUUCCGACCGUCUUUCUGUCUUUAGAGAGUUGCCCCUUCUGGACUUUCCAUAUAACUACGGAAUCACACAAUCUGUGGCCUAUGAAAGUGAAAGUCGCUCAGCUGUGUCCUGUUUGCAACCCCAUGGACUUAGCAGUCCAUGGAAAUCUCCAGGCCAGAAUACUGGAGCCGGUAGCCUUUCCCUUCUCCAGCGGAUCUUCCCGACCCAGGGAUAGAACCCAGGCCUCCCGCAUUGCGGGUGGAUUCUUUACCCGUUGAGCCACCAGGGAAGCCCAAGAAUACUGGAGUGGGUAGCCUAUCCUUUCUCCAGCGGAUCUUCCCGACCCAGGAAUUGAACCACGGUCUCCCGCGUUGCAGGCGGACUCUUUACCAGCUGAGUCACCAGGGAAGCCCAAGAAUACUAGAGUGGGUAGCCUAUCCUUUCUCCAGCGGAUCUUCCCGUCCCAGGAAUUGAACCAGGGUCUCCCGCGUUGCAGGCGGACUCUUUACCAGCUGAGCCGCCGGGGAAGCCCUGUGUGGCCUGUAGUGACUGGUGUAUUUCAGUCGGCAGUGUUCUCGAGGUCCACCAGGUCGUGCCGUGUCAGAGCCUCGCUCCUUUUUAAGGCUGGAUAGCAUUCCCUAGCGAUGGACACACUACGUCUCGUUCACCCGUUCAUCAGCCGAUGGACGGCUGGAGUGCUUCCCCUUUAUGGCGCCUGUGAACAGUGCUGUGAAUACUUGUGUUGUUCGGUGGCCCGGCUUCAACCGUAGUCUCUUUCAACGACACUUUUCUCAUCUGCAAAAUGAGGGUACCACCACCUCCCGAUCACAGAAGCAGGAACAGGUGGGAAAGCACUUUCAACCGUAAAACGCCACAACACAGCAAGGCCCACUUUUUUCGCGUCCGGUUCCUGAAUCUUCCAGAGCUCACUCUUAAAACUCGGGGACCACCACGCUGUAAAUCAGCUACAUCCCAAUAAAAACAAAAAACAACAGCUCGAUGACUUAACGCCACCGAACCGUACACUUUAAAAGGUUUAAAAUGGUACACUUUGGGUAAGUUUUACCACCACAAAAAAGCAAACUCAAAGUCACAAAGGUUUAUGGAACCCUCGCCACGGGCCAGGUCCUGGGCUGGCUGAGGACGAAACCGGAAGUCAGUCCCUCCCGAGCCGCCCCUCCACGACCCUCAAGAGCCCAGCCCAGGAGGAAGCACCCCAGCAUGGGCUCCCGUCACCCACUCCCCUUCACUUCUCUCAAGUCUCCUGGUUUAUUUUUUCAAACUCAAGCAGAUUUUGCCCUCUGCUCUAUUAAUCUGUUUUCAUGUUAAAAAAAAAUGUGUUAAAUGACUUGCCAAUCCAAUGACUGAUCCACUCUCAUUCUCCACCCCAAGUUGCUGAGUCUGUAGAGCCUGGGGGACAUCCUCUUUGGCUCCAUCUACCCCCAGUCCUGCAGGGGUGUGAGCCCCGGGCAGGGAUGUCCAGGUCAGCCCCGCGCAAGGCGGGCAGGUGACCUCAAGGUUGGGAAGAAAACAUGCACAGUAGCCCAUUUCUGUGAAGGACUUGGAGCUUGGAAGAGACACCCAAUCCUCUAUCUGUAGCCCGCCCUCCGCUUGGAAUGAAGACCACAGCUGUGUCCUGAGCCUCGAGGCUGGCCUCACAGGAGGAAUUUGAACACAGCCUGGGUUCCCGCACGCAGUUCAUGACUGCAAAGGGCUUCCUCUUCGAAAUCCAGCCCAAAUGGGCACACUCAAGAAAUGCGGCAGCUUCAGAGAACGUGACCCAGUUAAGUCCCUUCUACUGGUUCUUCCUUCAGCCUCACCUUCUCCAUCAGGGGUGGCCGGCUUUCCAGGGCUUGCCUGACAACAAUCAGCUCUGCUCACAGCACCCCAGGCGGGGCUGAACAGAGACCCUUUGUAGUAUUUGCUGGAAAAGCAAGAGGAAACUUCAGCCAAGGACCAGCUUCUUCUCCCCCUUAUGUAAGAGUUAGUGUUGCUCAUGCCAGUGAAGUCAUGCAGAAAGUCGGCAUGGGCGAGGGCUGACUCCAGUGGGAAUGGUCUCACCGGAACCCCCUUGGAACACAGAGGUGGAGACAGAGACAGGCAGGGAUGGGUCAGUGGGCCCCUCGGACACAGUUCAGCUUCUGACACACUCACGAGCCAACUUUAACACGCUUGCUUGGUUCUCAUAGCACUCAGUCUGGAUGCCAUGGACGGGGGUGGGGGGCACAUCUGCCUCCCCGCCCUCAUCUCAGCACCCUGGCCAUGCGCCCUCUUUUCUGCUCCUCCAACACACUCAGCCUUUUCAACCCCAGGGCCUUUGCACACCCUGCUACUUGAACACCACUUCCCCCAGUUCCUUUCCUCCCAUCCUUCAGGCUUCUGUGCCAGCAGUCCACCCCGAAGGGCUCUUCUCUGACCCAUCACUUCCUCUCUCCUUACUUAUACCAGAUCAUCCCUCUGUCUCCCCUUCGCCCUGCUUUCUUUAGAGGACACUGGAGUCUGUAUCUGCAUGUCCCAUGUCUCCCACACAGAAGACGAUAAUCAUUACGAGGGCAGGGAUUAUCCAUCUUGUUCUCCCCUGUGCCUCCAGCCCAAAGAACAGUACCCAGCACAUAGUAGGUGCUCAGUAAAUAUUUAGCAAAAGAAUGAAUUAAAAUAUCAGUAUAUUCCACACAACUCUGAUCCCUCAUUUUUGGAUUCGGCAAUCUUUCUGGAAGGAAGUAAAAUAAUAUAUAUUCCUGGGUUUAUCUAGACCCAAUAAAAGGGGGAAAAAAAAAAAAGUUCUUAAAUCUCUUGGAAACACCAAACUCCCGACGUAAGCAAAAGAACCUGCAGGUUGAGUUCCAAGAUAUGAGACCUGGCUGGUCACUGAACGUACGUUGUGGGGCUGGGGACUUUACAUAUGAUCCAAUUACCCCAAAUUUUAAGGCAAAUCCAUUUCAAAAUCAAAACCUCAAUAUGGAAAGUGGAGUGUGGCUUUACUCUGGCAUGCCUAUGAGAAGGCAGGCUUUCUGAAAAGAUGCUACGUUGUAGAUAACUCAUCCACAAAAGGCGGGGGGAAGGGAAGGGGAAAAACCCCAGGAUCGGGUGUCUUUCUCUGCUAAAGCUUCAGAUGAAAACCGAUCCGGGAGUGCGUGACCCUCCAAAAAUCUGCCAGCCCCCAAAGUACUUAAGUUACCCCUCCG